rnacentral:rRNA from 1 species
AAAUGAAUUGACGGGGACCCGCACAAGCGGUGGAGCGUGUUGUUUAAUUCGAUGGUAAACGAAGAACCUUACCCAGGCUUGACAUCCUGCGAAUUUCUCCGAAAGGAGAGAGUGCUUUAUUGAGCGCAGUGACAGGUGUUGCAUGGCCGUCGUCAGCUCGUGUCGUGAGAUGUUUGGUUAAGUCCAUCAACGAGCGCAACCCUUAUAGUCUGUUGUAUUUUUCAGGCUAGACUGCCCCGGUAACGGGGAGGAAGGAGGGGAUGAUGUCAGGUCAGUAUUACCCUUACGUCUGGGGCUACAAACACGCUACAAUGGCCGGUACAAAGGGCUGCCAAGUCGCAAGACGGAGCAAAUCCCAUCAAAGCCGGUCUCAGUUCGGAUUGCAGGCUGAAACUCGCCUGCAUGAAGUCGGAAUCGCUAGUAACGGUAGGUCAGCUAUACUACCGUGAAUACGUUCCCGGGUCUUGCACACACCGCCCGU